GACGAACGCUGGCGGCGUGCUUAACACAUGCAAGUCGAACGGAAAGGCCCUGCUUGCCGGGUGCUCGUGUGGCGAACGGGUGAGUAACACGUGGGUGAUCUGCCCCUUACUUUGGGAUAAGACUGGGAAACUGGGUCUAAUACUGGAUAGGACCAUGCUGUAGGUGGUGUGUUUGAAAGAUUAGUUUCGGUAAGGGAUGAGCUCGCGGCCUAUCAGCUUGUUGGUGGGGUAAUGGCCUACCAAGGCGUCGACGGGUAGCCGGCCUGAGAGGGUGGACGGCCACAUUGGGACUGAGAUACGGCCCAGACUCCUACGGGAGGCAGCAGUGGGGAAUAUUGCACAAUGGGCGCAAGCCUGAUGCAGCGACGCCGCGUGGGGGAUGACGGCCUUCGGGUUGUAAACUCCUUUCAGCCAUGACGAAGCCCUUGUGGUGACGGUAGUGGUAGAAGAAGCACCGGCUAACUACGUG
rnacentral:rRNA from 1 species